rnacentral:rRNA from 1 species
GAUGAACGCUGGCGGCGUGCCUAAUACAUGCAAGUCGAGCGAACAGACGAGGAGCUUGCUCCUUUGACGUUAGCGGCGGACGGGUGAGUAACACGUGGGUAACCUACCUAUAAGACUGGGAUAACUUCGGGAAACCGGAGCUAAUACCGGAUAAUAUUUCGAACCGCAUGGUUCGAUAGUGAAAGAUGGCUUUGCUAUCACUUAUAGAUGGACCUGCGCCGUAUUAGCUAGUUGGUAAAGUAACGGCUUACCAAGGCAACGAUACGUAGCCGACCUGAGAGGGUGAUCGGCCACACUGGAACUGAGACACGGUCCAGACUCCUACGGGAGGCAGCAGUAGGGAAUCUUCCGCAAUGGGCGAAAGCCUGACGGAGCAACGCCGCGUGAGUGAUGAAGGUCUUCGGAUCGUAAAACUCUGUUAUUAGGGAAGAACAAACGUGUAAGUAACUGUGCACGUCUUGACGGUACCUAAUCAGAAAGCCACGGCUAACUACGUG